CCUACGGGGGGCAGCAGUGAGGAAUAUUGGUCAAUGGGCGCGAGCCUGAACCAGCCAAGUAGCGUGAAGGAUGACUGCCCUGCGGGUUGUAAACUUCUUUUGUAAAGGAAUAAAGUGAGGCACGUGUGCCUUUUUGUAUGUACUUUAUGAAUAAGGAUCGGCUAACUCCGUGCCAGCAGCCGCGGUAAUACGGAGGAUCCGAGCGUUAUCCGGAUUUAUUGGGUUUAAAGGGAGCGUAGAUGGGUUGUUAAGUCAGUUGUGAAAGUUUGCGGCUCACCCGUAAAAUUGCAAUUGAUACUGGAAGCCUUGAGUACAGUUGAGGUAGGCGGAAUAAGUGGAGUAGCGGUGAAAUGCUUAGAUAUCACGAAGAACUCCGAUAGCGAAGGCAGCUUACUAAACUGCGACUGACAUUGAUGCUCGAAAGUGUGGGUAGCAAACAGGAUUAGAUACCCCAGUAGUC
rnacentral:rRNA from 1 species